AUGAAUUCUAACUUCCACGCUACUCAUCCAUGUGCAGAGGGGAAUAGCAAGUUAUGCGUCUCCGUGAGAGACUACUUCUGUUACAUGCCGCAGACAUGACAUGGGUUAUUCAAUCCCAUACUCUAUGGAGCACGAUUGCUACAGCAAGGGGUGGACAUGUACAUCAAGAUUGAGAGUUGUAGGUUGAAAUGGUACAGGAAGAACCAGACAAAGAUCCGUGCCGACUUGUAUAAAGGAGUUGUUGAUGCAAUUACAUCCGGGGAGACCCGGGCAAGCGCUGUUGGAGUAAGGAUAGUGCUCCCUGGAAGGUAA
rnacentral:rRNA from 1 species